ACGGCCAUACCAUGCUAAAUAUACCGGUUAGACCACCGAAGUCAAGCAUCAUUGGGCGCGGUCAGUUCUUGGGUGGGUGACCACCUGGGAACAACGCGUACCGUU